GCCUACGGGACGCAGCAGUCGGGAAUAUUGCGCAAUGGAGGAAACUCUGACGCAGUGACGCCGCGUGGGUGAAGGAGUAUUUCGGUAUGUAAAGCCCUAUCAGCAGGGAAGAACAAUGACGGUACCUGACUAAGAAGCACCGGCUAAAUACGUGCCAGCAGCCGCGGUAAUACGUAGGUGGCAAGCGUUGUCCGGAUUUACUGGGUGUAAAGGGCGUGUAGCCGGGCCGGCAAGUCAGAUGUGAAAUCCCAAGGCUCAACCUUGGAACUGCAUUUGAAACUGUUGGUCUUGAGUAUCGGAGAGGC
rnacentral:rRNA from 1 species